CCUACGGGUGACAGCAGUGAGGAAUAUUGGUCAAUGGGCGCGAGCCUGAACCAGCCAAGUCGCGUGAGGGUAGACGGUCCUACGGAUUGUAAACCUCUUUUGUCGGGGAGCAAAAGACGCCACGCGUGGCGUUUCGAGAGUACCCGAAGAAUAAGCAUCGGCUAACUCCGUGCCAGCAGCCGCGGUAAUACGGAGGAUGCGAGCGUUAUCCGGAUUUAUUGGGUUUAAAGGGUGCGCAGGCGGAAGAUCAAGUCAGCGGUAAAAUUGAGAGGCUCAACCUCUUCGAGCCGUUGAAACUGGUUGUCUUGAGUACGUGAGAGGUAGGCGGAAUGCGUGGUGUAGCGGUGAAAUGCAUAGAUAUCACGCAGAACUCCGAUUGCGAAGGCAGCAUACCGGCGCUCAACUGACGCUCAUGCACGAAAGUGUGGGUAUCGAACAGGAUUAGAUACCCCUGUAGUC
rnacentral:rRNA from 1 species